rnacentral:lncRNA from 12 species
CUUCCCUGCUCUUCAGUUCUGUCUUUUGCUUAACAUGAAAACACACAUCUACUUGCCCCAGUGCUUCUAUUGUGACUCAGGGAAAGGACUUCAACAGAUUAUUAUGAAAAUCAGUUUGACAGAUUACAUGACACAUUUUAGUGUUAAAAUCACUGACAUAGUGGUUUGUGUGUUGGAUGUAAAAAAUACCACACGCUGACAAACUGUAUACCCUUUUUUCAUUUUCUUGUCUUCGUUUCACUCUGCAACAACUCUAUAUCUACAGAUCACAUGACUGUUAUUGUUACUAUGUAAGAAAUUAUCACUUUCUAAAAAUGAAAAAACAAACAUAGAAUGUGAAUAAUUCUGUGUGGAUCAGUAGUGGAUUCAUAUAGCAGUCAAAAGGACAUUAACUAUUUGCUAUUUAAGUAUUUUGAAAUGUAUGUUGAGGAAUAAUGAUUAUUCAUCAGAAAAAUCCAAUGUGAGUGGUGAAUAUUGUUGUGCAAAUAUAUGUAGUUCUACUCGAAUAUAUGUAAAAUACUGUUCAUCUGUUAGCACUGUUUGACAGUGUUUCCGCAUUCAGAACGCCUUCACAGCAUGACUAUUAUUGUACUUUAGUGAAAGCACUGCCUUAUUCUGUGCACACUAGUGCAGAGACCCUGUAACAGCAUAUUGGUCACAAGCUACGAGAAACUCAAUAAUUUUUUGCAGAGAAAGCGAAAGAAAUCUCUUAGCAGCCAUGGUCAGUGUGCUUAUCUUUGCAUAUAUCUCAGUGAAUCUAUUCCUUAAAUGUCAAGGUCAAACGAUUCAUCAAGCUAAGAUUUUCUGUGAAAAUAGAGAAGUACCAGAAGGUGGAAGACUGGAGGUUACUUGCAGCACAUUUGGCCUUACAGUAAAGGCAGUUCAUUUAUAUCUGUGUAAAAAUGGCAAAGCUAUUGGUUGGAAAAAAGGGCUCACUCAACAAGACAUCACCUUUAAAAUAGAGAGAAUAGAUAUGAACCAUUCAGGCAACUACAGCUGUGUGUUUUCAGAAGAACAUUUGGAAAUAACCAAAGUGACAGGAUAUGGUCUUAAUAACAUCUUCAUAAAUGUGAUCGCGACAUCUAAUAGCAGCAAAGUCAUAAUUGUCAUAAUGUGCGCUAUCAUAGUGUUGCUCCUCAGUCUGUUUCUGGGAAUCUGGGCACUGAUCCGAAAACGAGGAUGCCUUGGAAUCCACAACGAAAGAUCCUCGAAAAAUGAGACAGAGCUCAGAGGAACAGAAAUGUUCUAUGAAGAAAUUGACACACCUUACACAUCUGGUACUGGUGACAUACAACAUGUUGUCUGGACUGCCUCAGAGUGUGAUGAAAGUUCUUCUGAAAGUGAUGAAGAGUAUAAUGAUGUGGGAUGUGCAGUAUAGCACCUGCAAGCAUUACAGUAUGAUUAAAUUAUACUGUUGCAACUUUGCUUGUCCUUUUAAGUUUCUAUUUGAAUUUACUAUUAUCUGUUUAUUGUCACUUGUUUUUUUUUAUAACACUGACCAACUGACUGUUGACUAUCGCUUUAGUCACUGUGCACAUUUUUUCAUGUUAACAUUACUGUAAAUUAUCUUUCAAGACUAGAAAUUAACUCUCAGAAUUCAUAGCAAAACACAAUAUACAUAAUGUUAAUGUAAGAUUAAAUUUUAGAAUACAAACUGAUGUUGGUUUUAUUUUUAUUUUAUUUUUUUUUAGUAUUUUUUUUUAUUUAAUCUGCACUGUGUUAGUGUUUUCACAAAUGUACUGAAGAAUAUCUCACAAUAAAAUGCUUGGAUUUUACAAAUAUUUCACCAGGUACAGAUCAUUUUUCCUUGUUUUCUAUAAACUUUUUAAAAAAUCUAACUUACUUUAAUUGAACUUUGAAAUGUACUAACUGUUGACAUUACAUAAAGAUUAAAUUGAAGUCAAUUUUAGGUAAUUUAGUAAGAACAAGUUAAAAUAAUAAAACAUUUAAUAACUUAUAACACUGAUGAUACACUUUGUGUUUAAUAAUUGGGCCUUUUUUUUUUGGUUAAAGCAUAGGGACUUGUGAUGGC